CCAGUUUGUGAUGAAGGACUAAUAUACAUCAGCAUUAAUGUCAGUGCUAUAUGUGAAAGGGAGUAUCCUGAUUCUAUAGCAGUUAUUAUAUUCGGUAGUGAUAGCAGCAGAGUAAUAAAAAAUGUUACUAUUAUACCACAAAUUAAUUAUCAACUGAUGAUAGCAACUGGAAAUACUUCAAUACCAUCUUGCAAUGAUACAUUUAUUGUUAAUGUAUCAUAGAGUAAUACUGAAGGAAUUCUUAAUGUAAUGUCACCUUUUAAAUUUGUUUAUCUUGGACCAGCUACUAAAAUUAACUUUUCAAUUGUCAACUGUUCUACUAUUGAUAUAACAUGGACCGCUCCUACAGUUGAUGAUGGAGUAUCUAUACUGUAUUA